GGUUGUUAGGGUGAUCUGGCCUGAUAAACCAAGGGUGAUUCAGCCAAUUUGGUCAGCUAGGCAGGUGUCCCCUUCUUUCCUUACAACUCCAUAUGUGUUCCUCCUGAAACUGAGGAUUCAUUAAAGAGGGCAACCGUCCUCAAUAGAGGUGGACCAUUCUUCUAGGAAAAGUAUGUAAGUAGUGGCUUAUAUACCACAUAAGUGGUUCUUGCUUGCUAGACCUCCAAACAAGCUUGCAAAAAAUUAACAUCAUUAUAAUGUAAUACUUGAUACCUUGCAAAUAUGUAGUGCAAUGCUGU
rnacentral:snRNA from 1 species